UCAGGCUGUGGUCAUUGAUUGUGCUGUUCAGCCGUGAGGUCUUUACCAACCUGGUGCCUAUCAGAGUUUUGGGGUCAUUGUAAAGUUAAUGUAAUUAUCUAUGAUGUAAUUAUAUCUAUGAUGUAAUUAUCUAUCUGUCAAUAUAUUUAUUUCUGUCAUCUCUAUUUGUAAGCAUAUUAGAUAAAAUCAUGUGAAUAUAUACGUUGAUGUUCUGUUGCUGUGAUAAAACACCCCGAUGAAAAGCAACUGAGUUGAGGAAAGGGUUUAUUUGGCUUCUAUUUCCAGGUCACAGUUCAUUGUGGAGGGAAGUCACAGCAGGAACUCAAGCAGGAACUUGAAGGCAGAAAUUGUGAUGAAAUGCUGCUUGCUGAUAGGCUCGCACUGGGCCAGCUUUCUUGCAUAGGUCAGAACCCCCUCCUAGGGGUGGUGCUGCCCACAGUGGGCUUGAUCUUCUUACAUCAAUUAAUGCUCAAGACGGUACCUCACAGACAGGCCAAUCUGAUCCUGCCAAUCCCUCAUUUGACACUUUCUUCUCAGGCGACUCCAGGUUGGGUCAAGUUGACGACUGGAGCUAACCAGAACGUUUGGGUAUAACACAUAAUAGAAAGCAUGGGCAAGGCAAGGGGAGCAAGCCAGUUAGCAGCACUCUUCCAUGACCUCUGCUUCAGUUCCUGCCUCCAGGUUCCUGCCUUGAGUGCCUGCCCUGAUUUCCCUUCAUGAUGGGCUACAACUGUAAGCUGAAAUAAACCCUUUCUUCCCCAA